rnacentral:misc_RNA from 1 species
AGUCAUCAACCCCUCCCGUUUUGUGCGGAGAGGCGGUUGGAGCUGGGGGCCCUGCUGCCGUCAGGCGGCUCCCCUCAAACGUGUCGGUUGGGCCUGUGGGUCAAACUCGGUUGGGCGUUGUACCAUCCUCGCUCUAAGUCCGAGAUGUUCCCCCUUUAUCGUGCCCUUCCCAGACUGCCUCUGGAGCGGUGGUCAAAGACAAACUUUGAA